GCAGCUAGUUGAUGUCCACACUGGCUGCAGAAUCUAGCCGUUUUCUCAAACGCAACAUGGCCACAACCUGUGCACUUCAUCUUGAAGUUUCAAUGGCGUCUGUAUUUCAGAGGGAACACUGUAUGACAGAGCUCGGGACAAAAUAUAUAUUUCACUUAAACGUUCUUGAAUUUGAAUUAAAUAUGAGAAACAACUAGCCAGCUAAAGGUAUAGCCACUUCCUUAAACUAAAGCCAGUCAAAUAUAUUCUAGGAUCUGUUUUGUGGCAGACUAUAAUAACUGCCCCAAACCCAUACAUACAGUAAGUUAUCUUCAGUCCAGGCUAUAUCUUCUGUUAACGUUAUGGCUCUACCCCCAAACAUAUUUUUUUCAUGUAGCUAAGUGAACUAGAAAUUGUUUUUCCUUCCUAAAUAUUAUUUAAAAGUAAUUAUAAUAUAUAACAUUGCAACCGAGCUAGCUCCUGUUACCUUGGGAAAAGCCGAAAGUUGUCAGUACAGUGUUGGUGUUCCUGAAUGCGCAACUCUGCCCACCCAGCGAUUGAUACAUUAUCCAGUCCGAAACGAAUCCUCUGCUACCCAGCCGAUAGCCACUUCCUCUUUCGUUUCUAGAAAACUACACAACAGCCUAGUGCCUGGAUAAUUAACUAGCCAACUGUAUUACAAUUGACGAAUGCAAAAGCUCCUCGGAAAUGACGAUGAAAUGCACUGACAUUAUCAACAGCAAGCUUUCUAGCUAGCCUGGCGAGGCUCUGUGCAGCUAUUGCUACAAUCCACUCGACAAAGGGUGGAAUGUUAGCUGAAACGACUGGUACCCAGAUAGCGGCUAACUAGCUAAACAAAAGCCCGGCCACAGAUCAAUAGUAACAUAUAGCUAGCUAUCUCCCAUAUAAACGUUAAACGAUUUCAAAUUCAUGCCAAAACCCCGUCACCGACAUGACAACGUACAGCAGUUUGUUCUGUAUUGCUAUCUGACAUUUAGAUAAUUAUUAUGACAUGACACCAACCCUUCACUGCCUCGAUUCAAGCAGUUACCAUCUAACUAGUUUGGUAAAUAGCCUACAGUUGUUAGCGACGUAGUACACCGUGACCUAGCUAGCUAGUCAUAUUGAGUUGCCCGGCAAAGCCGUCCACACCAUCUGACCUCAGUGCUAAGUCUCUUGGCUCCGGGAAUGUGGACAGGUCUCUCGGAGAGAAAAGGCUACCUCAGUGCUAAAGUUGGCUAACGUGAGUUCCCAAUGUAUCACAUGCAUGGCAAGCGAGGACAGCUACAUGGUGGGGGUUUUCCGAAUGACAUGGCACAAGUCCUCCUCUACUGUAAUGGUGAGGGUGAACACUGAGCAGCAUCCACUUAUGACAGUGGAUCUCACAGAUCAGGUUUCUAGCCCAGGGAUUUCCCCAUACACCCUGCUUGGAUGGGGGUACUCUGUGUGCAGCUCCCCCAGACGUUUUCUCUACAAUCACUGUGACUCAGCUGUCUCUACACCACCCUAGUAGGCUACUACUACUGCUGUACCUCCAGCCAAGUGGCCAGAGCAGGCUCUAAAGUGAGAACGUUACACAAUGCUGGCAUCAUAUUACAGCUACCCUGCUGGAGAAGAUGGCGUCCAAUCGUCUUGAAUGGAGGCUUGGUGGUCCAGCUACACGCCAUCCUGCAGUGUCACGAGGACACAGAGCCAGGGUCUUCCACGGUUUCGAGAAGGUGCCUUCCUAUCCCCUGCACCCGGCCGUCUCGCUCAGGGAGCCGGAGAGCAGGAUGACCUUCAGAUGAUGAGGUCAAGGGGCUAUGCCAUGGUGAUGCUUCAGCUCAGAAAAUGGAGAGUAGUCCUGGAAGUGGAAUUAUUAGAAAGAACAUUCCCAUUCAAGUCUUAUGUUCUGUGAUGGAUCUGUCAUUUAAGAGGGUUUCAGAGGAGAGUUUCUAUGUCAUCCCCUGUAGGUCACAGAAGGAGUGCACAUGGAGAGGUGAUGGAUUACUGUUUGAAUUUGCAUAAAGAAAUACAACCUAAAUAAAUUAGA